CCAAUAGCGUAUAUUAAAGUUGUUGCAGUUAAAAAGCUCGUAGUUGAAUUUCGGGAUUGACACAUCGGUCGUGCCUUAAGGGGUAUGAACUGGUGUAGUCAAUUUCUCACCUUCUGGAGAACCGCAAUGCCCUUAAUUGGGUGUCGCGGGGAACCAGGACCUUUACUUUGAAAAAAUUAGAGUGUUUAAAGCAGGCAUUUUGCUUGAAUACAUUAGCAUGGAAUAAUAAAAUAGGACGGCAUGAUUCUAUUUUGUUGGUUUCUAGGAUCACCGUAAUGAUUAAUAGGGAUAGUUGGGGGCAUUAGUAUUCAAUUGUCAGAGGUGAAAUUCUUGGAUUUAUUGAGGACUAACUACUGCGAAAGCAUUUGCCAAGGAUGUUUUCAUUAAUCAAGAACGAAAGUUAGGGGAUCGAAGACGAUCAGAUACCGUCGUAGUCUUAACCAUAAACUAUGCCGACUAGGAAUCAGACGAUGUUAAUUUUUUAAUGACUCGUUUGGCACCUUACG
rnacentral:rRNA from 1 species